rnacentral:rRNA from 2 species
GAAAGUCUGAUGGAGCAACGCCGCGUGAGUGAAGAAGGGUUUCGGCUCGUAAAACUCUGUUGUUAAAGAAGAACAUAUCUGAGAGUAACUGUUCAGGUAUUGACGGUAUUUAACCAGAAAGCCACGGCUAACUACGUGCCAGCAGCCGCGGUAAUACGUAGGUGGCAAGCGUUGUCCGGAUUUAUUGGGCGUAAAGCGAGCGCAGGCGGUUUUUUAAGUCUGAUGUGAAAGCCUUCGGCUCAACCGAAGAAGUGCAUCGGAAACUGGGAAACUUGAGUGCAGAAGAGGACAGUGGAACUCCAUGUGUAGCGGUGAAAUGCGUAGAUAUAUGGAAGAACACCAGUGGCGAAGGCGGCUGUCUGGUCUGUAACUGACGCUGAGGCUCGAAAGUAUGGGUAGCAAACAGGAUUAGAUACCCUGGUAGUCCAUACCGUAAACGAUGAAUGCUAAGUGUUGGAGGGUUUCCGCCCUUCAGUGCUGCAGCUAACGCAUUAAGCAUUCCGCCUGGGGAGUACGGCCGCAAGGCUGAAACUCAAAGGAAUUGACGGGGGCCCGCACAAGCGGUGGAGCAUGUGGUUUAAUUCGAAGCUACGCGAAGAACCUUACCAGGUCUUGACAUACUAUGCAAAUCUAAGAGAUUAGACGUUCCCUUCGGGGACAUGGAUACAGGUGGUGCAUGGUUGUCGUCAGCUCGUGUCGUGAGAUGUUGGGUUAAGUCCCGCAACGAGCGCAACCCUUAUUAUCAGUUG